UACGUAGGUGGCAAGCGUUGUCCGGAUUUAUUGGGUUUAAAGGGUGCGUAGGCGGCUUUGUAAGUCAGUGGUGAAAUAUGGCAGCUUAACUGUCAAGGUGCCAUUGAUACUGCAGAGCUUGAGUACAGAUGAGGUAGGCGGAAUUGACGGUGUAGCGGUGAAAUGCUUAGAUAUCGUCAAGAACACCUAUAGCGAAGGCAGCUUACUAAGCUGUAACUGACGCUGAGGCACAAAAGUGUGGGGAUCAAACAGG
rnacentral:rRNA from 1 species